AUUGAACGCUGGCGGCAGGCCUAACACAUGCAAGUCGAGCGGAGCGGCGGACGGGUGAGUAAUGACUAGGACUCUGCCUGGUGGUGGGGGAUAACGUCCGGAAACGGGCGCUAAUACCGCACACUAUCAGAUGAGCCUAGGUCGGAUUAGCUAGUGGGUGGGGUAGAGGCCUAGCAAUGCGCCGAUCCGUAACUGUUCUGAGAGGAGGAUCAGUCACACUGGAACUGGUACACGAUCCAGACUCCUUCGGGAGGCAGCAGUGGGGAAUAUUGGACAAUGGGCGAAAGCCUGAUGCAGCCAUGGCGCGUGUGUGAAGAAGGUCUUCGGAUUGUAAAGCACUUUAAGUUGGUAGGCGUUACCAACAGAAUAAGCAUCGGCUAACUUCGUGGCAGCAGCCGCGGUAAUUC
rnacentral:rRNA from 1 species